rnacentral:rRNA from 1 species
CCUACGGGUGGCAGCAGUGAGGAAUAUUGGUCAAUGGACGAGAGUCUGAACCAGCCAAGUAGCGUGAAGGAUGACUGCCCUAUGGGUUGUAAACUUCUUUUAUCUGGGAAUAAAAUGUUCCACGUGUGGGAUUUUGUAUGUACCAUAUGAAUAAGGAUCGGCUAAUUCCGUGCCAGCAGCCACGGUAAUACGGAGUAUCCGAGCGUUAACCGGAUUUAUUGGGUUUAAAGGGAGCGUAGGUGGAUUGUUAAGUCAGUUGUGAAAGUUUGCGGCUCAACCGUAAAAUUGCAGUUGAAACUGGCAGUCUUGAGGACAGUAGAGGUGGGCGGAAUUCGUGGUGUAGCGGGGAAAGGCUUAGAGAUCACGAAGAACUCCGAUUGCGAAGGCAGUGCACUGGACUGCAACUGACACUGAGGCUCUAAAGUGUGGGUAUCAAACAGGAUUAGAGACCCUGGUAGGC